AUUGAACGCUGGCGGCAGGCUUAACACAUGCAAGUCGAGCGGGGAAGAGUAGCUUGCUACUUUACCUAGCGGCGGACGGGUGAGUAAUGCUUAGGAAUCUGCCUAUUAGUGGGGGACAACAUCUCGAGAGGGAUGCUAAUACCGCAUACGUCCUACGGGAGAAAGCAGGGGACCUUCGGGCCUUGCGCUAAUAGAUGAGCCUAAGUCGGAUUAGCUAGUUGGUGGGGUAAAGGCCUACCAAGGCGACGAUCUGUAGCGGGUCUGAGAGGAUGGUCCGCCACACUGGGACUGAGACACGGCCCAGACUCCUACGGGAGGCAGCAGUGGGGAAUAUUGGACAAUGGGGGGAACCCUGAUCCAGCCAUGCCGCGUGUGUGAAGAAGGCCUUUUGGUUGUAAAGCACUUUAAGCGAGGAGGAGGCUACCGAGAUUAAUACUCUUGGAUAGUGGACGUUACUCGCAGAAUAAGCACCGGCUAACUCUGUGCCAGCCGCCGCAGUAAGAC
rnacentral:rRNA from 1 species